GAGCUAAACAAAGUAAAUGUGCAUCAAA
rnacentral:sRNA from 1 species